rnacentral:sRNA from 1 species
GUGUUUCAGGCGACCUAUUCCUCCCCCCAGAAGGCGCCUGACGGAACAGCGGCACUCCUCCUCCCAGCCGUUGUUCAAUCUUUGAAAAAGCCUGCCGCACCUCCUCCCGCGGCAGGCUUCUUCG